GACGAACGCUGGCGGCGUGCUUAACACAUGCAAGUCGAACGGAGAGGCCCUGCUUUUGUGGGGUGCUCGAGUGGCGAACGGGUGAGUAACACGUGAGUAACCUGCCCUUGACUUUGGGAUAACUUCAGGAAACUGGGGCUAAUACCGGAUAGGAGCUCCUGCUGCAUGGUGGGGGUUGGAAAGUUUCGGCGGUUGGGGAUGGACUCGCGGCUUAUCAGCUUGUUGGUGGGGUAGUGGCUUACCAAGGCUUUGACGGGUAGCCGGCCUGAGAGGGUGACCGGCGACAUUGGGGAUGAGCUAGGGUCGGGAGGCCUCCGGGAGGCAGCAGGGGGGGAGAGGGCACAACGGGCGGGAGCCUGAUGCCGCGUCGCCGCGUGAGGGAGGGCGGGGUUCGGGUUGGAGAAAGGUUUCGCCUGCGAAGAGCGGGGAGUGACCGUGGUGGGUAAAGAAACGCGGUCGAACGACGUU
rnacentral:rRNA from 1 species